UAGUUGGUGGGGUAAAGGCCUACCAAGGCGACGAUCUGUAGCGGGUCUGAGAGGAUGAUCCGCCACACUGGAACUGAGACACGGUCCAGACUCCUACGGGAGGCAGCAGUGGGGAAUUUUGGACAAUGGGGGCAACCCUGAUCCAGCCAUGCCGCGUGAGUGAAGAAGGCCUUCGGGUUGUAAAGCUCUUUCGUCCGGGAAGAAAUCGCACAGGCUAAUACUCUGUGUGGAUGACGGUACCGGAAUAAGAAGCACCGGCUAACUACGUGCCAGCAGCCGCGGUAAUACGUAGGGUGCGAGCGUUAAUCGGAAUUACUGGGCGUAAAGCGUGCGCAGGCGGUUUUGUAAGACAGGCGUGAAAUCCCCGGGCUCAACCUGGGAACUGCGCUUGUGACUGCAAGGCUAGAGUACGGCAGAGGGGGGUGGAAUUCCACGUGUAGCAGUGAAAUGCGUAGAGAUGUGGAGGAACACCGAUGGCGAAGGCAGCCCCCUGGGCCGAUACUGACGCUCAUGCACGAAAGCGUGGGUAGCAAACAGGAUUAGAUACCCUGGUAGUCCACGCCCUAAACGAUGUCAACUAGGUGUUGGGUGGGUAAAACCAUUUAGUACCGUAGCUAACGCGUGAAGUUGACCGCCUGGGGAGUACGGCCGCAAGGUUAAAACUCAAAGGAAUUGACGGGGACCCGCACAAGCGGUGGAUGAUGUGGAUUAAUUCGAUGCAACGCGAAAAACCUUACCUACCCUUGACAUGUCCGGAAUCCCUGAGAGAUCGGGGAGUGCCCGAAAGGGAAUCGGAACACAGGUGCUGCAUGGCUGUCGUCAGCUCGUGUCGUGAGAUGUUGGGUUAAGUCCCGCAACGAGCGCAACCCUUGUCGUUAAUUGCCAUCAUUUAGUUGGGCACUUUAGCGAGACCGCCGG
rnacentral:rRNA from 1 species